rnacentral:rRNA from 1 species
CUUGCUAAGACUGAUGGCGACCGGCGCACGGGUGAGUAACACGUAUCCAACCUGCCGUCUACUCUUGGACAGCCUUCUGAAAGGAAGAUUAAUACAAGAUGGCAUCAUGAGUCCGCAUGUUCACAUGAUUAAAGGUAUUCCGGUAGACGAUGGGGAUGCGUUCCAUUAGAUAGUAGGCGGGGUAACGGCCCACCUAGUCUUCGAUGGAUAGGGGUUCUGAGAGGAUGAACGGCCACACUGGAACUGAGACACGGUCCAGACUCC